AUUGAGUAGCCAUCAGAAAGGAGGAACUAGAUGUAUUCCAGUGAGAGACGUUACCAGGAGGAAGAAACUAUAAAGUUCAUGGUACUCAAGGGGGUCUCUGACCAAAAAAGGAUUAAGAAGAAUUGAGGCAAAAGAUGGAGUCACCCAGCCUGGAGUGUAGUGGUGCCAUCUCAGCUCACUGCAACAUCUACUUCCCAGGUUCAAGCAAUUCUCCUGCCUCAGCCUCCCAAGUAGCUGGAAUUACAGGCACACAACAAGACAUUCUCCAGAUCACCUGGCAUCUAGCUGGGGCCACAAGGUUUUUUUCUGCCAACGGAAUAUGUGCAGAAGUGAUGUAUAUGACCUCAGAGCCCAGCCUCUAAAUAUCCUGUGUCAUGCUCCACAUUCUGUCCAUUCAUCUCUCAGUUAACUAAAUAGAAGUGAUGCAAGGGAGGACUCCAAGGAAGCCCUAGGGAUCAUGAAGCUACAGAAUGGGAGAAUUGCUGUCACCACAGUUCUGGAAGAAGAAUUGUUCAGGAGAACAGCCAUUGGACUAUGGCAUGCCAAAGAAAUCUCUGUUGUGAAACCACAAUUAAAAGUUGUUCUUCCUGCCUCUGCUUCUUGACCAACCCCUGAGUGGCCCUGUAUAGUGUUCUCCCUAGGAAACUGUGGAUUCUACUUCUGGUGAAGAUGACGUGAACAUUGCUGAAAUGGCAACAAAGGAUUCAGAAGAUUACAUCAACUUAGUUUGGCAAAGCAGUGGCAGAGUUUGAGAGGACUGACUCCAAUUUUGAAAGUGGGUAAAAUGAUGUCAAAGAGCAUCACAUGGUGCAGAGAAAUCUUUCAUAAAAGAAUCAACUGAUGUGAUCAACUUCAUGGUUUCUUAUUUUAAGAAAUUGUCAAAAGCACCUUAACCUUCAGCAACUGCUGCCCCAUCAGCCAGGAGCCAUCAACAUCAGGAAGACCCCCCCACCAGGAGAAAGAUUAGGUCUCACUGAAGGCUUGAAUGGUUGUUAGUAUUUUUCAGCUCUAACGUAUUUUUAAAUUAAAGCUUUUACACUGCUGUUUUAAACAUUAUGCUGUUACAUACUUAAUAGACCAUGGCAUAGGGUGAACACAACUUUUAUAUGCAGUGAGAAACUAAAAAAUUCAUAUCAUGUAUUCUAUUGUGAUAUUCACUUUAUUGCAGUGGUCUGGAACUAAGCCCCCAAUAUCUCUGAGGUAUGCCUGUAAUUGAGCAUUCCCAUAAUUAUAAACUGUGAUACAGGCUAUGAAGGAAAAGUGCAACAUGUCAGGAGACUGUGUAACAGAGAUAUCUGGUCUAAUGGGGCGAGACAGUCUGAAAAAAUUGCUUUAAUUGCUGAGAGCUGGAGAAAUAAUAGUUAACCAGGAAAGGGAGAGGAAUCUGGAGGAGGAGCUUCUGGCAGCAGGAAUAGAAUGGCAAAGUCCAAGUUGUGGGAAGGAUAGGGGCCCAUUUAAAGAAUGGAAAGGAAAAUAAAAUAGGAACACAGUACAGGAAGGAGUGAGGGAUAUGAGAAGAAACCAGAGAAAGAAAGGGGCUAAUAUCGAGGUUCUCUACCUUGGCACUGUUGAUUAACAUUUGGGGCUGGAUGAUUCUCUGUUGUGGGGAGUGGCCCUUUGCACAAUUUUAGCAGCACCCUCUGGCCUCUACACACUAGAUG
ensembl:lncRNA novel transcript